rnacentral:lncRNA from 1 species
AAAUUUCAAUAUAAAAAAUAUAAAAUAAUAAACUGUUUUAAAUAGCGAUGACAUAAAGGAUAGCGAUUAUGAAACUCCAAAAUAAUAUAUAUAGAGAGUAAAGCUAUUAUAUUUUCAAAAGCAUAAUGGAGUUUGUGCUUCAAACUUUUUGGCCCUUAGAUCAUUCACUUUAAUCAUUUCUGAUUUUUAGAUUUAUAUAAUUAUUCUAUAUGAGGACUACUCAAUCCUAAGAGAACCAUUAUUAUUCUGAUCCUAUAAUUCUUGAUCUAAGAACUAAAAAAUCGAAAACACCGACUCUCUUCUGCUUUCGAUGGCAUAAUAGUUCUACACAUUAUAUAUUUACAACAUAAUU